rnacentral:rRNA from 1 species
CAUGCAAGUCGAACGAGUUCUCGUUGAUGAUCGGUGCUUGCACCGAGAUUCAACAUGGAACGAGUGGCGGACGGGUGAGUAACACGUGGGUAACCUGCCCUUAAGUGGGGGAUAACAUUUGGAAACAGAUGCUAAUACCGCAUAGAUCCAAGAACCGCAUGGUUCUUGGCUGAAAGAUGGCGUAAGCUAUCGCUUUUGGAUGGACCCGCGGCGUAUUAGCUAGUUGGUGAGGUAAUGGCUCACCAAGGCGAUGAUACGUAGCCGAACUGAGAGGUUGAUCGGCCACAUUGGGACUGAGACACGGCCCAAACUCCUACGGGAGGCAGCAGUAGGGAAUCUUCCACAAUGGACGCAAGUCUGAUGGAGCAACGCCGCGUGAGUGAAGAAGGCUUUCGGGUCGUAAAACUCUGUUGUUGGAGAAGAAUGGUCGGCAGAGUAACUGUUGUCGGCGUGACGGUAUCCAACCAGAAAGCCACGGCUAACUACGUGCCAGCAGCCGCGGUAAUACGUAGGUGGCAAGCGUUAUCCGGAUUUAUUGGGCGUAAAGCGAGCGCAGGCGGUUUUUUAAGUCUGAUGUGAAAGCCCUCGGCUUAACCGAGGAAGCGCAUCGGAAACUGGGAAACUUGAGUGCAGAAGAGGACAGUGGAACUCCAUGUGUAGCGGUGAAAUGCGUAGAUAUAUGGAAGAACACCAGUGGCGAAGGCGGCUGUCUGGUCUGUAACUGACGCUGAGG